rnacentral:lncRNA from 1 species
ACUGUCUGCUGGUGCAACUAUGUCGGACUUCCCCCUCUCAAGUCCCAAAGCGACGCCACCCCGCUUUAUACUGUUCGUUUCAACCCCACGAUGGCGACGCCCAGCGUCGAUCCAGCUGUCUACCACGCAAACUCGUCGAAUCCACGUCCCAUGGCGCUUGUGCGUGACCCGUGAUCGUCGACAAAUGUCGCGUUGUGCUUGCAUCGUGUCCUUAAACGUUUCUUUAAAAUGUCAUUUUAAAUAAUCAAUAAUCAACGUGAUUGAUAGUAAUGAAAAAUCUGUAUUUACCCAUUUUGUCGAUGUGAUUAAUAUUUCAUGGUGUAAUUAAGGGAAGAGAAGAGAAGAGGUGGUGUAACGUUUAGGGUGUCCUCUGGUCUUGUGUGCUGAUAAGAUACAAAAUGGAUGUCAUUGGGUGGACGAAGAAAUUGUUCUACGCUGAGCGCAGACUCGCGGAAAAUCCAUUGCUACCAUUUUACUUCGGACGAGACCAGGCAUAGUGGAAAUUUUGAUGGAACGUCUAGCAACGUUUUAGUUGCGUAUUGGAAACUAUUAUCAAAGGGCCGAUGUUUUUCGUUUCAUUACUGCAAUUACUACCAAUCUGUUCCCCACAUUCGACUUCGGGAAGACACAAAGUUAUUUUCAUUAUUGCCAGUAUCAUAGUCGAUCUUCGCUCGACCCGAAUACGACCGAACUUUUUCGUGAUAUUUUUCAAGAUAAUGUAGGAGUUCAUCUUUCGUGGCGCUGUAAGUCUCCGAACAAUGGCUGGCCAUGUUUGCAGAAUGUAACCGUGAAACGAUGCAAUAGCAGAGUACUUGAAAAUUCGCAAAAUAUAAUAAAACCAUCUUCCGAUCAUAAUCUUCCAAGUGGAGGAAUGAUAAAACGAGUUUCCAGCCGAAAAGAAACAUUCGCAACACCCUACGUGACUGUAUUUAAUGAGCCGUUUUCGAGUCUGUUCAAGAAAACGACAAUAUUCGGUAGAUGCGUAAGCAUGAGGGCAAACCGGCUAUAACUCCAAUCAAGGACUCACUCGGCUCGGUCCACAUUCCACGUCUAGUCCACCGAUCCCUAAACUCGUCGGCACGUUCGACGUUAUGGUCCAUCUUCGUCCUGGCUUCAUUAUUUCACAGUUUUCGAUUAUUCUACUCUGAAUAUUGUAAUCUGAUUCUUAAAAUGUCAAUUUAUUUGAAGAAGAGUAAUAGAAGCCAUUAAAAGUUGAAACUUUUAAUU